UUUACCUCCAGGGAGAGGCAGGGAUCAGCGGGCUCCCAGGUGGACUUGGCCUCCGGGGCCCCCCGGGACCCUCUGGACUCCCAGGCCUGCCUGGCCCUCCGGGACCUCCUGGACCCCCUGGUCACCCAGGGGUCCUCCCCGAAGGCGCUACUGACCUUCAGUGCCCGGCCAUCUGCCCGGCCCCCCGG